rnacentral:rRNA from 1 species
UACGUAGGGGGCAAGCGUUAUCCGGAUUUACUGGGUGUAAAGGGAGCGUAGACGGCAGGGCAAGUCUGGAGUGAAAGGCAGGGGCCCAACCCCUGGACUGCUCUGGAAACUGUCCGGCUGGAGUGCAGGAGAGGUAAGUGGAAUUCCUAGUGUAGCGGUGAAAUGCGUAGAUAUUAGGAGGAACACCAGUGGCGAAGGCGGCUUACUGGACUGUAACUGACUUUGAGGCUCGAAAGCGUGGGGAGCAAACAGG